UAGGAAAACCCGACGAAAUAACAGACGUAGAGUGUCGUGGAGUAGAUUUUGUGUAGCUGAGCUGUUCUUGGUGCAGGGGGCGUAGGGCUUGUGGCAAGACCGUAUUUGGUACACCAAUAUGGCGUCCAGCAGUGAUGUCAGCAUCUUCUGCUGUCUCCUAGUGGUCGUGUCGAUAUGUCUCCAUCCUCUCCUUCCGAGCACCAGGGCACAGAUGGUAACAAGACGAGGGACAAAGCUUGGACGAUUCUACAGACUAC